rnacentral:rRNA from 1 species
UUCCGUAGGUGAACCUGCGGAAGGAUCAUUAGUGAAUCCUCAAAGUCGGCUCGUCCUACUGUGCUGGUGGAGACACAUGUGCACGUUGCGAGUCGCAAAUCCCACACACCUGUGAAUCUAUGACUCUGAGUCUGCCGCUUUGCAUGGCCUUGAUCGGCCUGGCGACUCGAGUACUUUUACACACUCUUGAAUGUAAUGGAAUGUCUAUUGUGCAUAAUGUACAAAUGAAACAACUUUCAACAACGGAUCUCUUGGCUCUCGCAUCGAUGAAGAACGCAGCGAAAUGCGAUAAGUAAUGUGAAUUGCAGAAUUCAGUGAAUCAUCGAAUCUUUGAACGCACCUUGCACCCUUUGGUAUUCCGAAGGGUACACCCGUUUGAGUGUCAUUGUAAUCUCACUACAUUCGACUUUGUGUCGCUUGUAUGUGGACUUGGAUGUUGCCGUGGAUUUCCACGGCUCGUCUGAAAUGCCUGAGUGUACCCCAUUUUGCGGCGUAUUCGGUGUGAUACAUCUUCACCGGAGUUGAUCCUUUCGGGUCGCGUCAGUAUGAGUGUGGCUCUAUGCUUCCAACCGUCCCUCUAUAAGGACAAUCUCUUGACAAUUUGACCUCAAAUCGGGUGGGACUACCCGCUGAACUUAAGCAUAUCAAUAAGCGGAGGAAAAGAAACUAACAAGGAUUCCCCUAGUAACGGCGAGUGAAGAGGGAAAAGCUCAAAUUUCGAAUCUGGUGUCUUUGACUCCCGAGUUGUAAUCUAGAGAAGUGUUUUCCGUGUCGGACCGUGCACAAGUUCCCUGGAACGGGGCGUCAUAGAGGGUGAGAAUCCCGUAUAUGGCACGGACUGCCGAUGCUCUGUGAUACACUCUCAACGAGUCGAGUUGUUUGGGAAUGCAGCUCAAAAUGGGUGGUAAAUUCCAUCUAAAGCUAAAUAUUGGCGAGAGACCGAUAGCGAACAAGUACCGUGAGGGAAAGAUGAAAAGCACUUUGGAAAGAGAGUGAAACAGUACGUGAAAUUGUUGAAAGGGAAGCGUUUGAAGUCAGUCAUGUCUGGCGGGAUUCAACUUGGGCUUCUGCCCGGUGUACUUUCCGUCCGAUGGGUCAGCAUCAAUUUCGACCGAGGGAAAAAGAUGUGGGGAAUGUGGCUGUCUUCGGGCAGUGUUAUAGCCCCGCAUUGUAUGCCUCGGUUGGGAUUGAGGAACGCAGCGCGCCUAUAGGCCAGGGGCUACCCGCCUCUUGACACGCGCUUAGGAUGCUGGCAUAAUGGCUUUAAGCGACCCGUCUUG